rnacentral:rRNA from 1 species
GAAGACGGGUGAGUAACACGUGGGAACGUACCCUUUGGUUCGGAACAACCCUGGGAAACUAGGGCUAAUACCGGAUACGCGCGAGAGCGGAAAGGUUUACCGCCGAAGGAUCGGCCCGCGUCUGAUUAGCUAGUUGGUGAGGUAACGGCUCACCAAGGCGACGAUCAGUAGCUGGUCUGAGAGGAUGAUCAGCCACAUUGGGACUGAGACACGGCCCAAACUCCUACGGGAGGCAGCAGUGGGGAAUAUUGGACAAUGGGCGCAACCCUGAUCCAGCCAUGCCGCGUGAGUGAUGAAGGCCUUAGGGUUGUAAAGCUCUUUUAUCCGGGACGAUAAUGACAGUACCGGGAGAAUAAGCUCCGGCUAACUCCGUGCCAGCAGCCGCGGUAAU